rnacentral:rRNA from 1 species
GUACGGGGGGAGCAAGCGUUGUUCGGAUUUACUGGGCGUAAAGGGCGCGUAGGCGGCGCAACAAGUCACUUGUGAAAUCUCCGGGCUUAACUCGGAAAGGUCAAGUGAUACUGUUGUGCUAGAGUGCGGAAGGGGCAACUGGAAUUCUCGGUGUAGCGGUGAAAUGCGUAGAUAAUCGAGAGGAACACCUGCGGCGAAGGCGGCUCUCUGGGACGGUACUGACGCUGAGACGCGAAAGCGUGGGGAGCGAACAGG